rnacentral:rRNA from 1 species
UACGGGGGGGGCAAGCGUUGUUCGGAAUUACUGGGCGUAAAGGGCUCGUAGGCGGCCAACUAAGUCGGACGUGAAAUCCCUCAGCUUAACUGGGGAACUGCGUCCGAUACUGGAUGGCUUGGAUUUGGGAGAGGGAUGCGGAAUUCCAGGUGUAGCGGUGAAAUGCGUAGAUAUCUGGAGGAACACCGGUGGCGAAGGCGGCAUCCUGGACCAAUAUUGACGCUGAAGCGCGAAAGCUAGGGGAGCAAACGGG